rnacentral:rRNA from 1 species
UACGUAGGGGGCUAGCGUUGUCCGGAUUUAUUGGGCGUAAAGAGCGCGUAGGCGGCUAGGUAAGUCCGACGUGAAAUCUGGAGGCUCAACCUCCAGCGGUCGUUGGAAACUACUUGGCUAGAGUCCGGAAGAGGAGAGUGGAAUUCCUGGUGUAGCGGCGAAAUGCGCAGAUAUCAGGAAGAACACCGAUGGCGAAAGCAGCUCUCUGGGACGGUACUGACGCUGAGGCGCGAAAGCGUGGGGAGCGAACAGG